rnacentral:rRNA from 1 species
GACGGAAGGUGCAAGCGUUGCUCGGAAUCACUGGGCGUAAAGGGUGCGUAGGCGGCCGUGCAAGUCUGGCGUGAAAGCCCCUGGCUCAGCCCGGGAAGUGCGCUCGAAACUGCGCGGCUCGAGUGCCGGAGGGGAGAGUGGAAUUCCUGGUGUAGCGGUGAAAUGCGUAGAUAUCAGGAGGAAUACCGGUGGCGAAAGCGCUCUGCUGGACCUUAACUGACACUGAGGGACGAAAGCUAGGGGAGCGAAUGGG